rnacentral:rRNA from 1 species
GACGAACGCUGGCGGCAUGCUUAACACAUGCAAGUCGAACGCAUCACUUCGGUGAUGAGUGGCAGACGGGUGAGUAACGCGUGGGAACCUGCCCUUGGGUACGGGAUAACACCGGGAAACUGGUGCUAAUACCGUAUAGGCCCCGUAAGGGGUAAAGAUUAAUCGCCCUAGGAUGGGGCCCGCGUCAGAUUAGGUAGUGGGUGGGGUAAUGGCCUACCAAGCCUUCGAUCUGUAGCUGGUCUGAGAGGAUGAUCAGCCACACUGGGACUGAGACGCGGCCCAGACUCCUACGGGAGGCAGCAGUGGGGAAUAUUGCACAAUGGGCGCAAGCCUGAUGCAGCAACGCCGCGUGCGGGAUGACGGCCUUCGGGUUGUAAACCGCUUUUAGUAGGGAAGAAGCCUCUUGGGGUGACGGUACCUGCAGAAAAAGGACCGGCUAACUACGUGCCAGCAGCCGCCGUAACAC